rnacentral:rRNA from 1 species
AGAGUUUGAUCCUGGCUCAGGACGAACGCUGGCGGCGCGCCUAACACAUGCAAGUCGAACGGAGCUUAGAGAGCUUGCUUUUUAAGCUUAGUGGCGAACGGGUGAGUAACGCGUGAGUAACCUGCCCUAGAGUGGGGGACAACAGUUGGAAACGACUGCUAAUACCGCAUAAGCCCACGGUACCGCAUGGCACUGAGGGAAAAGGAUUUAUUCGCUUUAGGAUGGACUCGCGUCCAAUUAGCUAGUUGGUGAGGUAACGGCCCACCAAGGCGACGAUUGGUAGCCGGACUGAGAGGUUGAACGGCCACAUUGGGACUGAGACACGGCCCAGACUCCUACGGGAGGCAGCAGUGGGGGAUAUUGCACAAUGGGGGAAACCCUGAUGCAGCGACGCCGCGUGGAGGAAGAAGGUUUUCGGAUUGUAAACUCCUGUCGUUAGGGACGAUAAUGACGGUACCUAACAAGAAAGCACCGGCUAACUACGUGCCAGCAGCCGCGGUAAAACGUAGGGUGCAAGCGUUGUCCGGAAUUACUGGGUGUAAAGGGAGCGCAGGCGGGAAGACAAGUUGGAAGUGAAAACCAUGGGCUCAACCCAUGAAUUGCUUUCAAAACUGUUUUUCUUGAGUAGUGCAGAGGUAGAUGGAAUUCCCGGUGUAGCGGUGGAAUGCGUAGAUAUCGGGAGGAACACCAGUGGCGAAGGCGGUCUACUGGGCACCAACUGACGCUGAGGCUCGAAAGCAUGGGUAGCAAACAGGAUUAGAUACCCUGGUAGUCCAUGCCGUAAACGAUGAUUACUAGGUGUUGGGGGAUUGACCCCCUCAGUGCCGCAGUUAACACAAUAAGUAAUCCACCUGGGGAGUACGACCGCAAGGUUGAAACUCAAAUGAAUUGACGAAGGGCGAA